rnacentral:lncRNA from 1 species
AGCCUUAUAAUAUUCAAGAUCUAGAAGAUAACAAAAAUAUCAAAAUAACAAUUGAGGAACUCGAAGCGGUGGUGUUGUUUAUACAUUGGCCGGAGGGAAAAGGUUACAUAUAAAAAUAACAUGAGCCCGGAGAUGAAAGGUAAGUUAAUUGAAUUUUUAAAAGCUAACACAUAUUGCUUUACUUGGUCGCAUUUUAAUAUGACACGUAUACCGCCUGAGGUGAUGACCUAUAAGUUGAAUGAAGAUCCAAUGUAUCCACCUGUCAAAUAGAAGAAAAGGAAGCAAGGAUCCUUCAAAAAUUAGGUGAUUCAGGAUGAGGUACAAAAGCUUUUAAAAAUUGGGUCUAUCCCUUAGGUAAAAUAUCCUAAUUGGGUAUCUAAUACUGUAGUGGUGUCUAAAAAGAAUGGUAAGUGGCGAUUUUGUGUAGACUAUACAUGUUUGAAUAAAUCUUUCCCUAAAGAUUCUUUUUCUUUACCACCAUAGAUCAAAUAACUAAUGCUAUUGUAGGACACGAAUUGUUGAGUUUUUAGAUGUUUAUUCAUGAUAUAAUCAAAUAAAUAUGGAUCCUUCAUAUGAGGAAAAAACUUCCUUUAUUACAGUUAGGGGGACUUAGUAUUAUAAUGUCAAGCCUUUCAGCGUAAAGAACACUGGAGCCACGUACAUGAGGUUAGUAAAGAAGAUGUUUUAAGAACAUCUGGGAAAAACCAUAGAGGUUAUAUCGAUGAUAUUCUAGUCAAGUCACAACAGGCGGGCAUAUCCAAUCUCUGCCAUAUACAUUUUAGAUUCUCCGCAAAUUUAAUAUGAAGUUUAAACCAUGAGAAGUGUGCAUUUGAUGUGUCUUCAAGUAAGUUUUUAGUUUUCCUUGUUUCUAACCGGGGAAUUGAAGUAAAUCCAGCACAAAUUAAAGCCAUCGAAGAGAUACCAGAUAUGCUCACAAACAAAAAAGAGGUGGAGAGAUUGACAGGUAGGAUAACAACAUUGGGGAGGUUUAUUCCUAAAUCUUUGGAGAAAUGUUUUAAGUUCUUUUCAGUAUUGAAAAAGCAAAGCCAAUUUGAGUGGACUGAGGAAUGCCAAAAAACACUCAAAAAUCUAAAAACAUACUUGUCAAACCCACCGUUGUUGGCUAAGCCAAAGGACAGAGAAAGGCUACUCAUCUAUCUCGUUGUUUCAGAAGUGGUGAUAAAUGCAAUAUUAGUUCGGGAAGACAAAGGUAAACAAUCUCCAAUUUAUUAUGUUAGCAAGUCCUUAUUGGAUGUUGAAACUCGAUAUCCUCAUUAUAAAAACUUGCUUUAGCAUUAAUAAUGGCAUCUAGAAAUUUGAGGCCUUAUUUUUAAUGUCACCCUAUCUCUGUAGUGACCCCUUACCCUUUGCGAAAUAUAUUGCAUAAGCAAGAAUUAUCAGGUAGAUUUAGCCGAGUGGACUAUAGAACUAAGUGAAUAUGAUAUCAUAUAUCAACUUAGAACUGCGAUAAAAUAAAAGGUUUUAGUAGAUUUCGUGGCACUCUUUAGCCCAGCGAUGGUAAUAGAAGCAGAAAAAGAACUGCAAGUAUUCAACGGAUCUAAUCCAGGUACUUGAACCCUAUUUACUGAUGGCUCCUUAAAUGUUAAAGGAGCGGGUUUAGGCAUUAUUCUAAUCCCACCUUGGGGAGAAAUUAUAAGGCAAGUAAUAAAGUGUCAUCCCAUUACUAACAAUGAAGCAGAAUAUGAAACUGUAAUUGCCAAUCUAGAAUUGGCAUGAGAGCUCGGAAUAGAGCAGGUUGUAAUUAAGAGCGACUGCCAGCUUGUGGUUAAUCAAAUGCAGGGGACUUAUAUAGCAAGAGAGGAGAGGAUGCAACAAUAUUUUGAAAAGGCACGAGAUUUGAUCAUACAAUUCAAAUCUUGGAAAAUCAUGCAAAUACUCAGGGAAGAAAAUGUUGAAGCAGACACACUGGCUAAUCUUGCAUCCGUUGCAAAAGUGAAUAAAGAAAAUGCUUCUGUAAUACAUUUGUUUCAUUUGGCACUCGAUCAAGAUAAAAAUGGUUUUAAUAAUUUAACUUAGGAUUGGAGAAACGAGAUCGUCAAUCUUUCGCAGUUAUGGGAUCCUACUAGAAGAUAAGAAAAAGGCUUAGGCUCUUUGGCAAAAAACUACCCGUUAUUGUUUGGAUCGAGGCAACUUAUAUCGAAAGAUAUUCGGUGGACCUUUAGCAAGAUGUCUUGGACCUUCUCAAAUAGAGUAUGUGAUGAGAGAAGUACAUGAGGGACACUUUAAAAAUCACGCAAGAGGAAGAUCCUUGGUAAAAUCUCUAAUUAGAGCAUGGUAUUAUUGGCCUAAAAUGGAAGAAGAUGUAGAAAGCUAUGUGGCCAAAUGUGACAAAUGCCAACGAUACGGUAAAAAAAUGCAUCGCCCAGCAGAGUUAUUAAAUCCGAUUAACGCACAUGGCUCUUCGUGAAGUGGUGGAUGGAUACCGUGGGUCCAUUACCGCUAUCCAAAGGAAAGUUAUGAUUUUUACUAUCACUAACUGAUUAUUUUACCUAGUGGGUAGAAGUAGAUGCCUUCAAAUAGGUACAUGAAAAAGAAUUCAAGGACAUCAUUUGGUGAAACAUCAUAUGCUGGUUUGGAGUUCCAAAAAAAACCAUGUGUGAUAACGACCCACAAAUCAUAGGCGCAAAAAUCACGAAAUUCUUUCAGAGUUGGCAGACUAAUAGGAUAACUUUGACACCUUAUAAUCUUCUGGCUAAUGGACAAGCUGAAUAAUCAAACAAGGUUAUUAUCAAUAAUCUAAAGAAAAUAUUAGAGGAGUCAAAAGGAAAAUGGCCAGAAGUACUACCAGGAGUAUUAUUGGCUUACUGCAUCACAACAAAAACAGGUACGAGAGAGACUCCGUUCUCACUUGUGUAUAGUGUUAAAGCCUUAGUUCCAGUUGAAAUAGGUAAAUCAAGUACAAGAUAAAUCCAAGCAAUUAAAGAAUCAAAUGAGGAAGAGAUGCGAAUAAAUCUCGAUUUUCUUGAAGAAAGAAGAGAAACUACCUUGAUAAGGAUGGCAUUGCAACAACAAAUUAUUGAGCGAUAUUAUAAUAAGAAAGCUCAUCUUAGGUACUUCAAGAUUGGGGACUUCGUACUCAAAAAAUGUUUCUCGAUCAAUGAAAGCAACCAAUGAAGGAAAGUUGAGCCCAAAUUGGGAAGGACCUUACAAGAUUUGAGGUAUUGCAGGAAAGGGUGCAUAUGAAUUAGAAAUAAUGGAUGACAAAGUACUCGCAUCAAAUUCAAUGAUGUUCAUUUGAAGAAGUAUUACUUCUAAAAAGGAAAACCCUCGGUCAUGUAUCGUUUAUGUAAGGUUUAAAUUUAUUCUUUUUUAAUUGUGCUAACAAUUUUAGAUGAUAGGCAUAAAGCUAGCCUACAACAAAUGAUGUUAGACCUACAAGACAUGCGGGAUGCAAAAUCAUCCCCGAUAUAGGUUGCAACCUUUCUGAUGGAACUAAAAAGGGUUAAGCAGUCAUCAUCUAAAAUAUACCUUCGAGUCCCGUAUGUUUUUGCUUUUCAUGAAAUGGACCACAUGGAAGGAAUAAUCAAGUACUCCAGAUUUCAUACUUCAAAGCUCAAACACUUGGGGGACUAUAUAUAUAUAAAAGUCAAAAUUCGAGUCAAGACUGAGGCAAUCUACCCAACAAAUCGAAAGUUAAGAGCGAGCAAAUCAAGAGCCAAAAAUUCACAACUGAUUCAAAAACCUAUGAUUAAGUAUACACUUGCAUAUGUAAAUUACAAAAUCUUAUGAGUAUUUAGGUUAAAGGAAAUAUUUAGUAGUGGUUGCAAGAUAUACCCUUGAAUUUUGUAACAUCUAUUAUGAAGAAAAAUAAUUAUAAAAGAGUUGUAGAUGUUACUCAAAUACAUGUAAAGUUUAUAGUUUGAAAGUUCAAGAAUACAAAACUUCCUCAAGUUAUUCUAAGAAAUAUAUAUGUUCCUACUUCUUCUUUCGUAUGUUUACACCAAUAUGAAGUUGAAAUGUUUCUUUCAUUAAGUGUCGUUUAUAAAAUGGUCCUCUUUUAUAGUUCAUGCUUAUUCAAAAGAGUCACAAAGCAUUAAAAUAUUUUUAAUGCAAAAGUUAAAUAGAAAAGAGUAAAACAAAAAUCUAAACAUUAAAAUAGGUGAAAAAUAAAGCUCACACUUAUAAACAUAAGGUAAGUAUUUAUCUUCAAAACCCGAAGUAAGACAAGGGUAAACCGAUAAGAGAGUAGAAUAAAAACUCAUAAAGAUAUUAUGAGAGUUAAGUAAAAACUUGAAAAGUAAUAUUAUAUAAACUUAGUUAAAACUAAAGUAUAAAAACUUAGUUACAACCUGAUAAUUUGAUUCUAAACCCCAAAAUAAAAUAGGGGUAAAUUUUUGUAAACAUUACUAAACCCCAAACAGGACAUGGGGUAAACCUCCAAACGUUCCACAAUAAAAAAACACAAAACAACAAACCUUUCAAUCAGACUUUCACUUUGGGGCAUGUUCUGGACCAGUAUUAUCGGAAGGAUUCAAAAUGGCAUCAUCAACCACAGGAGGUUCAACUUGAGCGUAAGAGGUUUGAACAACAACUUCACUAGGAGUAAGUUCAUCACCCACAGGAAUGUCAAUCUCAGGUGAAAAAAAGUUUUGACUCUACUAAAUUUUCUCAAUGGUUUAUUUAGUUUUUGCAAUUUCAGCAGCUAAGUCAAAGUCUUCCUGGCUUGCUUCUAUUAAAUUUUUAAGGUGUAUGUUCAAGAAAGGUCAACUAACAUCAACAGUAGUUUUAUCAUCAAGGGCUUCAUAAUCCUUCUCCUACUGCUCAAAUUCGGCAAUUAGCUCUUCAUUUUCAGUCAAAGCAGCAUCAUAAGAAAACUUGUAAGGGGGCGAGGGACCACUCUAAGAACUGAACCUCGUCAGAAAAACACGAAGAUUUUCUUGAAUUUGGGUGAGCGUUUGAGCAAGAACUUUCUUUUGGUUCAAUAGUUCUUUAAAAAUUCUAAUUUCCUCAAUGGCUUGGAAAGUUGCUCAGCAAAUGAAGACUCGUGGAGGACUUUAUCCUUGCCCACUUAACUAUAAAAGGCCUUUUCAACCGGUAAUUCUGCCGCCAUUAUCUUCACUUGUUGCUCCAAGGUACACUUCUCCAGGGAUAAUUAAUGAUGUCCCAAGUCACCGGUACAAAUCCCGAAUCGAGGAAAGGGUUGACUCUAUAGUACAGUCAGCAAACCAGAAAUCUGGGUGAGGAAUUGUGUUAACUCAGAAAAACGUGUUAGGCAUUCCCGAGUUUCAUGGUUCUAGCAUGGUCACUUAACUGCUAUUAUUGGCAUAAUUAUCUGAUUUUAAGAGCAUUUUGAACCUAUGUGCAUCUUAACUUUAAAAUUGCUUUUAUUCAUCUUUAAAGAAGAUGCAACGUUGUCUAAAAUAUAUCUUUGGAUCGCGCCACAUGAAAUGCACCCGCAAUCCGAAACACAUUUUAUUCGAUGUUAUUAGGAUUUGGAUUUGGGUCACUUGAAAUGCGCACAGAGUUUAGGAAGGUAAAUUAUUUAACUAAUGCGCCUAAAGUAAUUACGUUUUUUAUAUUUUUUGUGUGGGCCACGAAAAAUUUGCUAAUGGCAUGCCUCAGAUUUUAAGGUUAAUUAUUCGGAAUUCAAUUAUCUAAAGACCUUAAAAGGUGAGCUUAUCGGAUAUUGGGCCCAUGAAACAAUUUGCCCCGAACCCACUUUUAUACAGACAAGGUCUAUUUUGACAAAAUGUGCUAUCCCUCUCAUUACUAUUUUAUCUUUUGGAAAUAGAACUCACCCAAAAUCCAUUAACCAAACGGACCAUUUACAACAGGGAUGCAUCCGAAGGGAAAAAAAAAAGACCAAACAAAAAACAAGAUAAUAAAACAAAUAACGGAAGCCAAAUGAACACUUAAAAAUCCAUAUGGAUCUAAUCAGCGGGCAAAGAACAAACAUAUAUCACAAAUGAAAAGCUUUGAAAUGUAGUAUCACUCUAAACCCAAAACACAGCAACUUCUGCAUUAAUUCCUAGAAUCCAUACAUGAUUAUUUCCAUUACCGCAAGUGAUAAGUGACAAUUUCAUAUUUAUUCAAUUAAAAACAUAGUUAAGCUAGAUAUAAAUGAAGUAAACAAUUUAAAAUAGGAUGAUAGCAAUUGCAGUAAAUUAUCCAAAGCAAAUGAAUCAACAUAUGCACUGUAUUCAGACCAAAAAAUCGAACAAGCUGAAAUUCGAACAAAAACGAAGCUAGAACCAACUGACCGGAUGGGGAAUUGCAAUGGCGACCUCAGAUUCUGACCUCGAACUGACGGAACUUUGAAAUUCUCUCUCGAACCCAAACUCAUUUGAAAUCCAAGAUAACCCAAACUCAGUGGUGUGAUUUUGGUGAGUUUUAGCGUCGGCACUGCCCCACACGGCGGAGCAGCCUCCGCUCAAACAAAUAUUCGAGGAGACUGAUUGAUAUUCGAGGGACAACAAUGACAGAUCUGGAAAGAGGAAGUCGGGGAGGUGGAGUGGUGUUCUUUUGGAGGUCAUCGGAGAAUCGCCACCGGCAGAGGCAAUUUCUGACCGGCGGCAGACGAUAGACGACGGUGGGAUUAGGGUUUGAUCUCUGAGACAAGGUACCAGGUCUAUUUUGGGGGUGACGAGGUGUUUGAGAGCAUUAUAUAUGCAUCAUACCAUGGCUUCAUCACCGUUUGAUCCACAAGAAUGGACAGCCUUGAUUGAAAGUUGCUCAAAUGACAUCGUUUUGAGAGGUGGGGCUGGACCGGGUGUGGAUCCUAAGUUGGACCAGGUUUGAUGUGGGAUUGGGUCAUAUGGGCUGCUGAUUUACUUAAAGAAAUGGCCCAAAUGGGGUCUUUUAGUUAAGACCCUGUUUCUUUCAAUUUCUUUCUUUUGCUUUUAUUUAUUUUAUAUUUUAUUAUUAUUAUUAUUAUUAUUAUUAUUAUUAUUUUGUUAUAUACAAAAUAAAAUGAACAAAGACCUGAUUUCAAUUCUAGAAUUAAACUAAUUAAUUUUAAAAAAUUAAUUAAACCCCAAUUUAAAAGAAAAUUUAAGGAAAACUCAAGAAAUUAAAAAGUAAAAAUACAAAGAGGACAUUUUUUUGUUAUUUUCUUCCGUUUUUGUGAUGUUAACUAGUUAAUGAACCUAAAAUAUUGAAAAAUGGUAUCCUAAAUGCAAAUGUGCUAUUUUUGGUAUUUUUAUGAAUUAUAUUGAUUAAAAUGCACUCGAAAUGCAAACAAACACACAAUUAUGCAAUUAAAUUCUAAAAAACGCAAAUAAAGAAAAAUCCUAAAUUUAAAAAUUUUAUAGGAGUAAUUUAAGCUAGGCAAAAUUCACGUGCUCGCAAACUCAAACCACAGCAACUUCUGGAUUAAUUCCUAGAAUCCAUACAUGAAUAUUUCCAUUAACCCAAGUGAUAAGUGACAAUUUCAUAUUUAUUCAACCAAAAACUUAGUUAAGCUAGCUAUAAAUGAAGUAAAAUAUUUAAAAUAGGAUGCUAGCUAUUGCAAUAAAUUAUCCAAAGCAAACGAAUCAACAUAUGCACUGUUUUCAGACCAAAAAAUCAAACAAGCUGAAAUUUGGACGAAAACGAAGCUAGAACAAACUGACCGGAUGGGGAAUUGCAAUGGCGACCUCAGACUCUGACCUCGAACUGACGGAACUUCAAAAUUCUCUCUUGAACAGAGGAAAUCAAAUAUCACUCCAUAUCACCAAUGCCAUAUUGUAAUCCGCAUUCAAAUGAAAAAGAAGCCAAUUUUUCCUGAUUUUUUGAAAUAAACAGAGAUUUAAACAUAAGAAGAAUUGAUGAUUUUCCCCUAUGUUAAUACUUUCGAACCAAAUAGGUGUAGAAAUCCAAGAUAACCCAAACUCUAAUUCUCCUUUUUCCACUAGAUUCUGUCCGUCUUUCUCUAGCCUCUGUUUUUAUUUUUAUUUUUAAUUUCAUGUGAGCUCGAUUGCUGUUAGGCUACGGAGAAAGGUGGGGUCUGGUCGUUUGGUGUUUAGCGGCUAAUUGCUUCUUGAGGGGGAGGUGGUCUUGUGAAGAUGAUGAGAGGAAUGGCUGUCUAGGGGUGUUCUCUGCUGAAGCCGAUGGAAAUACAAGGACGUUCGUCCCUUUGUCAAUUGCGACUGAAGCUCUCAGAUUUUUGGCCAUAUUUUUUGUUGUCCGUUUUCCUGAUGUUGGCCUUCCUAUAUGUAGAGUCUAGCUUUAGGUUAUUAUUUUUUUGUAUUUUUCUAACUAAUCUCUAAGUCUUUUUUUUUAUUUGUGUUAAGUCUUUAUGGUCUUUUUAUUUGUUUUUUUUUCCAAAUAAGAGUCUAGAAGGAUCCCUAAUGUUAGCUUAAUGGGUACUGCGUAUUUGGCCAAGAAAUUGGACCAAAGACUAACUAAUUCUCUUUUUAAAAUUAUACCAUUAUAGUAUAAAAUAUAAAAUUAAUUUUAUAAUUAAACUAACUAUAUUAAGACAUGAA